rnacentral:rRNA from 1 species
GCAACUCGACUCCAUGAAGCUGGAUUCGCUAGUAAUCGCGCAUCAGCCAUGGCGCGGUGAAUACGUUCCCGGGCCUUGUACACACCGCCCGUCAAGCCAUGGGAGCCGGGGGUGCCUGAAGUACGUGACCGCGAGGAGCGUCCUAGGGCAAAACUGGUGACUGGGGCUAAGUCGUAACAAGGUAUC